GACGUAGGGCGCGAGCGUUGUCCGGAUUUAUUGGGCGUAAAGAGCUCGUAGGCGGCUUGUUGCGUCGACCGUGAAAGCCCGAGGCUUAACCUCGGGUCUGCAGUCGAUACGGGCUAGCUAGAGUGUGGUAGGGGAGAUCGGAAUUCCUGGUGUAGCGGUGAAAUGCGCAGAUAUCAGGAGGAACACCGGUGGCGAAGGCGGAUCUCUGGGCCAUUACUGACGCUGAGGAGCGAAAGCGUGGGGAGCGAACAGG
rnacentral:rRNA from 1 species